GGGUCGUUAGCUCAGUCGGUAGAGCAGUUGACUUUUAAUCAAUUGGUCGCUGGUUCGAAUCCAGCACGGCCCA
rnacentral:tRNA from 1 species